CCUACGGGAGGCAGCAGUGGGGAAUAUUGCGCAAUGGGCGAAAGCCUGACGCAGCGACGCCGCGUGAGGGAUGAAGGUCUUCGGAUCGUAAACCUCUGUCAGCAGGGAAGCACGGUCACUGUGCUAAUCAGCAGUGAAUUGACGGUACCUGCAAAGGAAGCACCGGCUAACUCCGUGCCAGCAGCCGCGGUAAUACGGAGGGUGCGAGCGGUAAUCGGAAUUACUGGGCGUAAAGCGCUCGUAGGCGGUAUGUCAAGUCAAGGGUGAAAUCCCCGCGCUCAACGUGGGAACUGCCUUUGAAACUGACAAACUGGAGUGUGUGAGAGGAUAGUGGAAGUCCAGGUGUAGGAGUGAAAUGCGUAGAUAUCUGGAGGAACAUCGGUGGCGAAGGCGACUAUCUGGCACAUAACUGACGCUGAGGAGCGAAAGCGUGGGUAGCAAACAGGAUUAGAUACCCGAGUAGUC
rnacentral:rRNA from 1 species